UACAGAGGUCCCGAGCGUUGUUCGGAUUCACUGGGCGUAAAGGGUGCGUAGGCGGUCUUUUAAGUCAGUGGUGAAAUCCUCCAGCUUAACUGGAGAACUGCCAUUGAUACUGGGAGACUUGAGUACAGACGAGGUAGGCGGAAUUGACAGUGUAGCGGUGAAAUGCAUAGAUAUUGUCAAGAACACCGAUUGCGAAGGCAGCUUACUAGACUGUAACUGACGCUGAGGCACGAAAGUGUGGGGAGCAAACAGG
rnacentral:rRNA from 1 species